GCCUGGGUGGCUCAGUCGGUUAAGUGUCUGACUUCCACUCAGGUCAUGACUUCGGAUCAGGGUUGUGAGUUCGAGCCCCGCAUCAGGCU
rnacentral:tRNA from 1 species